GACGAACGCUGGCGGCGUGCUUAACACAUGCAAGUCGAACGGAAAGGCCCUGCUUUUGUGGGGUGCUCGUGUGGCGAACGGGUGAGUAACACGUGAGUAACCUGCCCUUGACUUUGGGAUAACUUCAGGAAACUGGGGCUAAUACCGGAUAGGAGCUCCUGCUGCAUGGUGGGGGUUGGAAAGUUUCGGCGGUUGGGGCUGGACUCGCGGCUUAUCAGCUUGAUGGUGGGGUAGUGGAUUACAAAGGCUUUGAAGGGUAGCCGGCCUGGGAGGGUGACCGGCCACAUUGGGACUGAGAUACGGCCCAGACUCCUACGGGAGGCAGCAGUGGGGAAUAUUGCACAAUGGGCGGAAGCGUGAUGCAGCAACGCCGCGUGCGGGAUGACGGCCUUCGGGUUGUAAACCGCUUUCGCCUGUGACGAAGCGUGAGUGACGGUAAUGGGUAAAGAAGCACCGGCUAACUACGUG
rnacentral:rRNA from 1 species